rnacentral:rRNA from 1 species
GAUGAACGCUGGCGGCGUGCCUAAUACAUGCAACUCGAGCGAACAGACGAGGAGCUUGCUCCUCUGACGUUAGCGGCGGACGGGUGAGUAACACGUGGAUAACCUACCUAUAAGACUGGGAUAACUUCGGGGAACCGGAGCUAAUACCGGAUAAUAUAUUGAACCGCAUGGUUCAAUAGUGAAAGACGGUUUUGCUGUCACUUAUAGAUGGAUCCGCGCCGCAUUAGCUAGUUGGUAAGGUAACGGCUUACCAAGGCGACGAUGCGUAGCCGACCUGAGAGGGUGAUCGGCCACACUGGAACUGAGACACGGUCCAGACUCCUACGGGAGGCAGCAGUAGGGAAUCUUCCGCAAUGGGCGAAAGCCUGACGGAGCAACGCCGCGUGAGUGAUGAAGGUCUUCGGAUCGUAAAACUCUGUUAUUAGGGAAGAACAAAUGUGUAAGUAACUAUGCACGUCUUGACGGUACCUAAUCAGAAAGCCACGGCUAACUACGUG